UACGUAGGUGGCAAGCGUUGUCCGGAUUUAUUGGGCGUAAAGCGAGCGCAGGCGGUCAAUUAAGUCUGAUGUGAAAGCCCCCGGCUCAACCGGGGAGGGUCAUUGGAAACUGGUUGACUUGAGUGCAGAAGAGGAGAGUGGAAUUCCAUGUGUAGCGGUGAAAUGCGUAGAUAUAUGGAGGAACACCAGUGGCGAAGGCGACUCUCUGGUCUGUAACUGACGCUGAGGCGCGAAAGCGUGGGUAG
rnacentral:rRNA from 1 species